CCACCGCGACAUCAAGUCGUCCAACAUCCUGCUGGACGGCAACUGGACGGCGCGCGUCUCGGACUUCGGGCUGUCGCUCAUGGGGCCCCCGGAGUCGGAGGAGACGCAGUCGCAGUCGCAGCGGCACCUGACGGUGAAGGCCGCCGGCACGUUGGGGUACAUGGACCCGGAGUACUACGGCCUCCACCACCUGACGGUGAAGAGCGACGUGUACGGGUUCGGCGUGGUGAUGCUGGAGGCGCUCACGGGGCGGCGCGCCAUCUUCAAGGAGGCCGAGGGCGGGAGCCCCGUCAGCGUGGUGGACCACGCCGUGCCCAG
rnacentral:lncRNA from 1 species